rnacentral:rRNA from 1 species
CCUACAAGCAGUCAGAGCUAGUGAGAGAUUAGAAAUUAGAUUCAAUCUAAUUUCUACUAGGCGCGAUAGCGCCGGUCAACUUUCUAGUUUCUCACAUUGUAAUGGCGUGCUUAUUGUAUAAGAGCCGGCGAGUUACGGUGAGUGGCGAGGUUAAGCUUGUAACAAGCGGAGCCGCAGCGAAAGCGAGUCUGAAUAAGGCGCCAAUAAGUCGCUUGCUGUAGACCCGAAACCGAGCGAGCUAUCCAUGGACAGGAUGAAGUUCGGCCGUUUGCGCGGCUGAGUGGAGGUCUGAACCCGUUGACUGAGAGAGCCAUGGGAGGAUCUGUGGAUAGGAGAGAAAAUCUACGCGAGCUCGGAGAUAGCUGGUUCUCCCCGAAAUGCAUUUAGGUGCAGCCUCGAGAUAGACCAACGGGGGUAGAGCGCCGAUUUGGUACGACGGCCCCUUAACUUUGUGGGUCGGAGCCCAAGUCGAACUAACGAAUACCGUUGAUCGUUUCUCGGGAGUGAGGCCGCGGGCGUAAAGGUCCGCAGCCGAGAGGGAAACAACCCGGAUCACCAGCUAAGGUCCCUAAGUAUAGACUCAGUGUUCUUAAGGAAGUGGGAUUGCGAAGACGACCAGGGGGUUGGCUUAGGAGCAGCCAUCCCUUAAAGAGUGUCGUGCGUGUAAGCUCACUGGUGGAGCGAUCCUGCGCCGAAAAUGUCCGGGACUUAAGUCUAUCACCGAAGCUGUGAGUUCUAGGUAUAUAUAAGGUGUGUCAGGGUUUUAACCUUGGCCGUCUUACCUAGAUCGGUAGGGGAGCGUUCUGUGGGAGUUGAAGCCAUCCCGUGAGGGCUGGUGGAUUCCACAGAAGAGAGAAUGCCGGCAUGAGUAGCUAACUAAGAUGGGUGAGAAUCCCAUCCGCCGAAAGCCUCAGGUUUUCCCAGCUCUGUUCAUCAACUGGGAGUUAGCCGGACCUAAGGCGAGGCCGAAAGGCGUAGUCGAUGGAUAAGCCGGUUAAUAAUCCGGCGCCACCGAUCCGUAGUUGUUAACGCAAGCUGUUCUCCGGUGGUUUGUUCACCGGUAGACGGCAGCUAGCAACUAAAAAGCGGGCGACGCGGGUAAGCCGCGUCGGGGGACGAGUGGAAGCCCACCCGGCAAGGCCGAACCGCUUAAAAAAACCCGCAAUUUGGAUCGGUGUCCGUACUGCAGACCGACACAGGCAGGCUAAGGGAUAAACCCUUAAGGCGAGCGAGACAACCCUCGUUAAGGAACUCGGCAAACUGACCCCGUAACUUCGGGAUAAGGGGGUCUUUCCUCGGGGCAACCCGAAGAAAGGUUCAAUUAAAUUGGCUCGAGCGACUGUUUAUUAAAAACACAGGUCUCUGCUAACUCGUAAGAGGAUGUAUAGGGGCUGACGCCUUCCCAGUGCCGGACCCUAAGAAGAGGGGUCGUAGGGUAGGAUUGUUGGGGUGGAGAGCCCCAACGAUUUCAACUGAGGGCUCCGAAUCGAAACCCCGGUAAACGGAGGCCGUAAGGGAAUGACGGCCCAAAGGUAGCGGAAUUCCCGGCGGAUAAUUUCCGUCAUGUCGAAAGGCAUAACGACUCGAGCGCUGUCUCAACGAGGGACUCGGCGAAAUUGGCUAAAUCGGUGAAUAGACCGGUUUCUCGCGGCGGGAUGUAAACCCCCGGAAGCUUGACUGCAGCUUGAUCUUGGGUGAACGCCCUAACCUGCCACCGUGAAUCCGGUGGGGGGACAGGGUCAGGUGGACAGUUUGGCUGUUUCGGCCCCCUCCUAAAAAGUAACGGAGGGCUCCAAAGGUACCCUCAGCACGAUCGGAAAUCGUGCAGUGUGCAUAAGGGCGUAUGGGUGCCUGACUGCUUAGGCCGACAGGCCGCGCAGGGGCGAAAGCCGGGCCUAGUGACGCGGUGGUACCAAGUGGGUGGGCCACCGUUACAUGGGAUAAAAGUUCUCCGGGGAAAUAGGGCCAAUCACCCCCGAAAGAUCACAUCGACGGAGUGGCUUGGCACCUCGUAGUCGGCUCAUCGCAUCCUGGGGGUGUAGGAGCUCCCAAGGGUUGGACUUGCCGUCCAUUAAAGCGGUAUGUGAGCUGGAAUAAGACCAUUGUAAGAUAGGUCGGAUCAAUAUCUGCCGUGAGCGUUGGAAACUUGAGGGGAGCUGCCCUAAGUACGAAAGGAACAGGGUGGACGGGCCUCUGGUGUACCAGUUGCCCCGCCAGGGGCACCGCUGGGUAGCUAUCGUUCGGAAGGGAUAAGCGCUGAAAGCAUCUAAGUGCGAAGCCCACCCCAAGAUGAGGUUUCCCGUCGGUUUAAAAACCGACGAAGGUCCCAGGUAGACUACCUGGUUGAUAGGCCGCAGGUGUAAAACCCGCGAGGGUUGCAGCCGAGCGGUACUAAUGUGACCGAUAAGCUUGAUAU